GAUGAACGCUGGCGGCGUGCUUAACACAUGCAAGUCGAACGGGAAACAUUUUAAUGAAGUUUCGGCAGAUUUAGUUUGUUUCUAGUGGCGGACGGGUGAGUAACGCGUGGGUAAUCUGCCUCACACUGGGGGAUAACAGUCAGAAAUGACUGCUAAUACCGCAUAAUGCAACGAAAUCGCAUGACUUUGUUGCCAAAGAUUUAUCGCUCUGAGAUGGCCUCGCGUCUGAUUAGCUAGUUGGUGAGGUAACGGCUCACCAAGGCGACGAUCAGUAGCCGGUCUGAGAGGAUGAACGGCCACAUUGGGACUGAGACACGGCCCAG
rnacentral:rRNA from 1 species